rnacentral:rRNA from 1 species
UACGAAGGGGACUAGCGUUGUUCGGAAUCACUGGGCGUAAAGCGCACGUAGGCGGAUUUGUAAGUCAGGGGUGAAAUCCCGGGGCUCAACCUCGGAACUGCCUUUGAUACUGCGAAUCUUGAGUCCGAUAGAGGUGAGUGGAAUUCCUAGUGUAGAGGUGAAAUUCGUAGAUAUUAGGAAGAACACCAGUGGCGAAGGCGGCCCACUGGAUCGGUACUGACGCUGAGGUGCGAAAGCGUGGGGAGCAAACAGG